rnacentral:rRNA from 1 species
UGCGAGGGGAGCAAGCGUUGUUCGGAUUUACUGGGCGUAAAGGGCGCGUAGGCGGCCACGACAAGUCACUUGUGAAAUCUCCGGGCUUAACUCGGAAUGGCCAAGUGAAACUGUCAGGCUAGAGUGCAGAAGGGGCAAUCGGAAUUCUUGGUGUAGCGGUGAAAUGCGUAGAUAUCAAGAGGAACACCUGCGGCGAAGGCGGGUUGCUGGGCUGACACUGACGCUGAAGCGCGAAAGCCAGGGGAGCGAACGGG